AGAACAGUGAGCCCGCAAGGUCAGGGAGCUGCCCCCAGGUCAUCUGGGCUGUUGAAGAUGGAGGUGGCAGAUGGAGUCGUCCACGGGCCCUUCCAAGUUAAACAUUACUCACGGCGACAAGAGCCCGCCGGGCAGUGCCUGGCCUGGAGGUGGACCCGCGUGCGGAAGGUGCUGGGACGGGGUGAGUGCCAGGCCCCUCCCUGCAGCAUCUGUGGGGCAGCUGCUGGUGCAGGUGGCCCCAGCACCCUGAGCCCAUAACUGGGUCCCUGCAGCCUCUUGCCUCGCCCUUUGAAGUCAUGAAUGUGCCUGUUUAUGUAACCCCCAUGCUCGGCCAGAGCGGGUAGGCCUGUGGGCAGCAGGUCCCUGGGCAGGCUUGGGAGGGGCCAGCCAGGGGCCCCAGAGGGGUUUGGGCUGGGCCAGGCGAGAGCCCUCCCCUCGGCCGGUCACUCCAGCUCUGUGCCAGGCUAGGGGUGGGACUGGAAACAAAAUGCUCAGAAAAAAAA